GCACGGUUAGGUUUCGGCCUGGCAGUGGCGGACGGGUGAGUAUCGCGUAGGAACGUAUCCUUGGGUGGGGGAUAACCGUGGGAAACUACGGCUAAUACCGCAUGAAGCUUGAGGGCCAAAGGCAGUGAUGUUGCCUGGGGAGCGGCCUGCGUACGAUUAGCUAGUUGGUUGGGUAAUGGCUGACCAAGGCGACGAUCGUUAGCUGGUCUGAGAGGAUGAUCAGCCACACUGGGACUGAGACACGGCCCAGACUCCUACGGGAGGCAGCAGUGGGGAAUAUUGGACAAUGGGCGAAAGCCUGAUCCAGCAAUGCCGCGUGGGUGAAGAAGGUUUUCGGAUUGUAAAGCCCUUUCGGCGGGGACGAUGAUGACGGUACCCGCAGAAGAAGCUCCGGCUAACUUCGUGC
rnacentral:rRNA from 1 species